rnacentral:rRNA from 1 species
UACGUAGGGACCAAGCGUUGUCCGGAAUCAUUGGGCGUAAAGAGCGUGUAGGCGGCCUGUUAAGUCUUGCGUGAAAUCUCGGGGCUCAACCGUGGAGGGUCAUUGGAAACUGGGGGACUUGAGUACAGAAGAGAAGAGUGGAAUUCCACGUGUAGCGGUGAAAUGCGUAGAGAUGUGGAGGAACACCAGUGGCGAAGGCGACUCUUUGGUCUGUAACUGACGCUGAGGCGCGAAAGCGUGGGGAGCAAACAGG